rnacentral:rRNA from 1 species
AGUGAACGCUGGCGGUAGGCCUAACACAUGCAAGUCGAACGGCAGCACAGUAAGAGCUUGCUCUUACGGGUGGCGAGUGUCGGACGGGUGAGGAAUACAUCGGCAUCUACUUUUUCGUGGGGGAUAACGUAGGGAAACUUACGCUAAUACCGCAUACGACCUACGGGUGAAAUCAGGGGAUCUUCGGACCUUGCGCGAUUGAAUGAGCCGAUGUCGGAUUAGCUAGUUGGCGGGGUAAAGGCGCACCAAGGCGACGAUCCGUAGCUGGUCUGAGAGGAUGAUCAGCCAGACUGGAACUGAGACACGGUCCAGACUCCUACGGGAGGCAGCAGUGGGGAAUAGUGGACAAAGGGCGCAAGCCUGAUCCAGCCAUACCGCGUGGGUGAAGAAGGCCUUCGGGUUGGAAAGCCCUUUUGUUGGGAAAGAAAAGCAGCAGGUUAAUACCCCGCUGUUCUGACGGUACCCAAAGAAUAAGCACCGGCUAACUUCGUG